CUCUCUCCGGUGCCUCCGCCAGCUACGUCCCCCGCUCCUGUCUUCGCCUUGCCCGCUGGUUAUCUUCUGAGUUCUCCUUUAUUGACAAUAAACCGUGGAUUGUCCGUACUGUCUCUGUCUCUGCAUCCUGGGUCCUAACCAACCUUUUCACCAACCGUAACAUGUGGGAUCUUCAUGAUUAUGUACGCUUGGUACCUUGCCAUGGAGGCACCAUUUGACUUCACUGUUAAAGACAUGCCAGUCCUCAGAAAACGGUGGUGCACAGUACUGCUUGAGAACUUCCACCUGGAUGGGCACGGCAGAAGGUUCGCACACUUCACGGAGGAGGCCAAACAAAUGGCGGUUGGACUACUUCCACCAGUCUUCAGACUGAAGCGAAAAAGAGAAGUGAAUGACGUUUCCAGUGACAGAAUACAAAUAAUAUAUUGUAUAGGCUUAAUAUUGAUUUGACUGUUUGAUUCUUUUGACAGUGAGUUGGAGCUGAUGGCAGCAUGAAGAACCUAUAUCUUUAAGAUUCUGUAGAUUAUUUGUUGAAUAAAUUGUGAGGAAACUUUGGUGUGGUUAUUCUUCAAUGUAUCUUUAUAUCAAAUUAUGAUGAUAUACUUGACAAAAAAUUCAAUUUGAUUAUAUUAGACAUAUUAAAACA